CCUACGGGGUGCAGCAGUGGGGAAUAUUGGACAAUGGGGGGAACCCUGAACCAGCGACGCCGCGUGAGUGAAGAAGUAUUUCCGUAUGUAAAGCUCUAUCAGCAGGGAAGAAAAUGACGGUACCUGACUAAGCAGCCCCGGCUAACUACGUACCAGCAUCCGCGGUAAUACGUAGGGGGCAAGCGUUAUCCGGAUUUACUGGGUGUAAAGGGGGCGUAGACGGUGCAGCAAGUCUGAUGUGAAAGGUCGGGGCCCAACCCCGGGACUGCAUUGGAAACUGUUGAACUGGAGUACAGGAGAGGUAAGCGGAAUGCGUAGUGUAGCGGUGAAAUGCGUAGAUAUUAGGAGGAACACCAGUGGCGAAGGCGGCUUACUGGACUGUAACUGACGUUGAGGCUCGAAAGCGUGGGGAGCAAACAGGAUUAGAUACCCCUGUAGUC
rnacentral:rRNA from 1 species